rnacentral:rRNA from 1 species
CACGUAGGGGGCAAGCGUUGUCCGGAUUUAUUGGGCGUAAAGAGCUCGUAGGCGGCUCGGUAAGUCGGGUGUCAAAUCCUCAGGCUCAACCUGGGGCACCACCCGAUACUGCUGUGGCUAGAGUCCGGUAGGGGAGCGUGGAAUUCCUGGUGUAGCGGUGAAAUGCGCAGAUAUCAGGAGGAACACCAGUGGCGAAGGCGGCUUCCUGGCCUGUUCUUGACGCUGAGGCGCGAAAGCUAGGGGAGCAAACGGG